rnacentral:rRNA from 1 species
CAAUAGCGUAUAUUAAAGUUGUUGCGGUUAAAAAGCUCGUAGUUGGAUUUCUGGUUGAAGCGACCGGUCGGGCGUUGAUUCGUCUGCACUGGAGUCGGUUUUGGCCAUCCUCUAGGAAAGUGCGUCUGGUAUUAAGUUAUCGGGCGUAUGAUCCUGGUCUUUUACUGUGAAAAAAUUAGAGUGUUUAAAGCAGGCCUUGCCUUGAAUACAUUAGCAUGGAAUAAUAAGAUAGGACUUUGGUCUAUUUUGUUGGUUUGCAGACCGAAGUAAUGAUUAAUAGGGAUAGUUGGGGGUAUUUAUAUUCCGAUGUCAGAGGUGAAAUUCUUAGAUUUUCGGAAGAUAAACUUAUGCGAAAGCAUUUACCAAGGAUGUUUUCAUUA